rnacentral:rRNA from 1 species
UACGAGGGGGGCAAGCGUUGUUCGGAAUUAUUGGGCGUAAAGGGCGCGUAGGCGGCGAUUCAAGUGGCGGGUGAAAUCCCUCGGCUUAACCGAGGAACUGCCUGCCAGACUGGAUUGCUUGAGUCCGGGAGAGGGAUGCAGAAUUCCAGGUGUAGCGGUGAAAUGCGUAGAUAUCUGGAGGAAUACCGGUGGCGAAGGCGGCAUCCUGGACCGACAUUGACGCUGAAAGCCGAAAGCUAGGGGAGCAAACGGG